GACGAACGCUGGCGGCGUGCCUAAUACAUGCAAGUAGAACGCUGAAGGAGGAGCUUGCUUCUCUGGAUGAGUUGCGAACGGGUGAGUAACGCGUAGGUAACCUGCCUGGUAGUGGGGGAUAACUAUUGGAAACGAUAGCUAAUACCGCAUAAUAGCAGUUGUUGCAUGAUAACUGUUUGAAAGGUGCAAUUGCACCGCUACCAGAUGGACCUGCGUUGUAUUAGCUAGUUGGUGGGGUAACGGCUCACCAAGGCGACGAUACAUAGCCGACCUGAGAGGGUGAUCGGCCACACUGGGACUGAGACACGGCCCAGACUCCUACGGGAGGCAGCAGUAGGGAAUCUUCGGCAAUGGACGGAAGUCUGACCGAGCAACGCCGCGUGAGUGAAGAAGGUUUUCGGAUCGUAAAGCUCUGUUGUAAGGGAAGGACGAGUGUGAGAGUGGAAAGUUCACACUGUGACGGUAUCUUACCAGAAAGGGACGGCUAACUACGUG
rnacentral:rRNA from 1 species